rnacentral:rRNA from 1 species
UACGAAGGGGGCUAGCGUUGCUCGGAAUCACUGGGCGUAAAGCGCACGUAGGCGGAUUGCUAAGUCAGGGGUGAAAUCCUGGAGCUCAACUCCAGAACUGCCUUUGAUACUGGCGAUCUCGAGUCCGGAAGAGGAGAAUGGAAUUCCCGGUGUAGCGGUGAAAUGCGCAGAUAUCGGGAAGAACACCCGUGGCGAAGGCGGUUCUCUGGGACGGUACUGACGCUGAGACGCGAAAGCGUGGGGAGCGAACAGG